GAUGAACGCUGGCGGCGUGCUUAACACAUGCAAGUCGAACGGAAAGGCCCAAGCUUGCUUGGGUACUCGAGUGGCGAACGGGUGAGUAACACGUGGGUGAUCUGCCCUGCACUUCGGGAUAAGCCUGGGAAACUGGGUCUAAUACCGGAUAGGACCACAUUUUGGAUGGUGUGGUGGAAAGUUUUUCGGUGUGGGAUGAGCUCGCGGCCUAUCAGCUUGUUGGUGGGGUAAUGGCCUACCAAGGCGUCGACGGGUAGCCGGCCUGAGAGGGUGUACGGCCACAUUGGGACUGAGAUACGGCCCAGACUCCGACGGGAGGCAGCAGUGGGGAAUAUUGCACAAUGGGCGCAAGCCUGAUGCAGCGACGCCGCGUGGGGGAUGACGGCCUUCGGGUUGUAAACUCCUUUCGCUAGGGACGAAGCGUUUUUGUGACGGUACCUGGAGAAGAAGCACCGGCUAACUACGUG
rnacentral:rRNA from 1 species